rnacentral:ncRNA from 1 species
CAACCUGAACUCAGUCGUGAUUACCCGCUGAACUUAAGCAUAUCAUUUAGCGGAGGAAAAGAAACUAAAAAGGAUUCCCCUAGUAACGGCGAGUGAAACGGGAAGAGCCCAGCGCCGAAUCGAUCAGUCUUUGGCUGCUUCGAAAUGUGGCGUAUAGGUGUAGUCUUCCAGCAGUGUCGUAUGUCCGAAGUCCUUGCGAUUGAGGCCAUAAACCAGAGAGGGUGCGAGCCCCGUUCUGGAUAGCGGCGCUGUUGGUUCGACUGCUCCUUGGAGUCGGGUUGACUUGAAAGUGCAGCCUAAAGUGGGUGAUAAACUUCAUCUAAGGCUAAAUAUUGACUCGAUUGCGAUAGCGAACAAGUACCGUGAGGGAAAGUUGCAAAGGACUUUGAAGAGAGAGUUCAAGAGAACGUGAAAUCGCUGGAGUGGAACCGGAGACAGUUGAUGUUGCUUGGAGACAAUCUUGGUGGCUGAUCGCUUAGCUGUGAUCGCCGCCGGGAGUCGUUUCCUAUGCUACGCCGACGGCGUUGGCCGCUCGUUCUGGCCCGACAGUGUUGCCCAUCUCGCAAGAGACGGUGUCUUGUUGUCGGUCGUUGGUUCGUGGUGGCUAGCGUUUAGUUACGCUAGUGUGUGUGACGUCGGUGUGAAAGUCGACGACGUUUCCGACCCGUCUUGAAACACGGAUUACGGAGUGUUUGUCUGCUGCGAGUCAAAGGGUGUAAAAACCUUGCGGCGCAAUGAAAGUGAAGGUUAGUCUCGAACUGACCGACGUGGGAUCCGUGCUCUUCGGAGU